GAGCGUAGGGCGCGAGCGUUUGUCCGGAUUUAUUGGGCGUAAAGAGCUCGUAGGCGGCUCGUUGCGUCAACCCGUGAAAACCCGGGGCUUAACUUCGGGCUUGCGGUUGAUACGGGCGGGCUGGAGUUCGGUAGGGGAGACUGGAAAUUCCUGGUGUAGCGGUGGAAUGCGCAGAUAUCAGGAGGAACACCGAUGGCGAAGGCAGGUCUCUGGGCCAUUACUGACGCUGAGAAGCGAAAGCAUGGGGAGCGAAACAGG
rnacentral:rRNA from 1 species